rnacentral:rRNA from 1 species
AGGACGAACGCUGGCGGCGUGCUUAACACAUGCAAGUGGAGCGACGAACCAGGGCUUGCCCUGGGGCAGAGCCGCGAACGGGUGAGUAACACGUGGGUUACCUGCCUCGAUGACCGGGACAACCCGAGGAAACUCGGGCUAAUACCGGAUGUGCCCGCAAGGGGAAAGGAAGCUUCGGCCUCCGCAUCGAGAUGGGCCCGCGGCCCAUUAGCUUGUUGGUGAGGUAACGGCUCACCAAGGCUUCGAUGGGUAGCUGGUCUGAGAGGACGAUCAGCCACACUGGGACUGAGACACGGCCCAGACUCCUACGGGAGGCAGCAGUGGGGAAUCUUGCGCAAUGCGCGAAAGCGUGACGCAGCAACGCCGCGUGGGGGAAGAAGGCUUUCGGGUGUAAACCCCUUUCAGUUGGGACGAAGCUUCUCCGGUGAAUAGCCGGAUGGAGUGACGGUACCUUCACAAGAAGCACCGGCUAACUACGUGCCAGCAGCCGC